AAAUCCUUGAUUCUAAUACAGUCGGGGGAUGACGGUACCGGAAGAAUAAGCACCGGCUAACUACGUGCCAGCAGCCGCGGUAAUACGUAGGGUGCGAGCGUUAAUCGGAAUUACUGGGCGUAAAGCGUGCGCAGGCGGUUUGCUAAGACCGAUGUGAAAUCCCCGGGCUCAACCUGGGAACUGCAUUGGUGACUGGCAGGCUAGAGUAUGGCAGAGGGGGGUAGAAUUCCACGUGUAGCAGUGAAAUGCGUAGAGAUGUGGAGGAAUACCGAUGGCGAAGGCAGCCCCCUGGGCCAAUACUGACGCUCAUGCACGAAAGCGUGGGGAGCAAACAGGAUUAGAUACCCUGGUAGUCCACGCCCUAAACGAUGUCAACUAGUUGUUGGGGAUUCAUUUCCUUAGUAACGUAGCUAACGCGUGAAGUUGACCGCCUGGGGAGUACGGUCGCAAGAUUAAAACUCAAAGGAAUUGACGGGGACCCGCACAAGCGGUGGAUGAUGUGGAUUAAUUCGAUGCAACG
rnacentral:rRNA from 1 species